GUGGGGAAGAGAAGACAGGAAAAAUCUCAAGCUGAUUGCGCUGAUGGAGCUGAAGUUGAAGGUAGUGGAAGAUUACUGGGCAAGGUUUGGAAAAGCUGCGACCUGGUGGAACAAGAGAGAACAGAAGCUCUGUGGAAAGCGACACGGGGAGUGCAGGAAAACCCUCCUUGUUGAAGAUGCCCCGUUGGAUUUAUGGAAGCUGUCUGUAUCCUGCAGAUUUGAGCAGCCCGUGUGGAGAGGUGCCGGCCUGCAGCGUGUCUUAAUUCUCAGCAAGCAAGGCC